rnacentral:rRNA from 1 species
AGCAGUCGCCACGGUAAUACGGAGGGUGCAAGCGUUAUCCGGAUUUAUUGGGUUUAAAGGGUCCGUAGGCGGACUUAUAAGUCAGUGGUGAAAGCCUGUCGCUUAACGAUAGAACUGCCAUUGAUACUGUAAGUCUUGAGUAUAUUUGAGGUAGCUGGAAUAAGUAGUGUAGCGGUGAAAUGCAUAGAUAUUACUUAGAACACCAAUUGCGAAGGCAGGUUACCAAGAUAUAACUGACGCUGAGGGACGAAAGCGUGGGUAGCGAACAGGAUUAGAUACCCCCGGUAGUCCCUGUCUCUUAUA